UGUGGGAGCGGGCUUGCUCGCGAAGGCGUCGUGUCAGGCGAUUUUGUAUCGCCUGACACACUGCAUUCGCGAGCAAGCCCGCUCCCACA
rnacentral:antisense_RNA from 1 species